GCCAGACUCCUACGGGAGGCAGCAGUGAGGAAUAUUGGUCAAUGGCCGAGAGGCUGAACCAGCCAAGUCGCGUGAGGGAAGACGGCCCUACGGGUUGUAAACCUCUUUUGUCGGGGAGCAAAGCGAGCCACGUGUGGUUCAUUGAGAGUACCCGAAGAAAAAGCAUCGGCUAACUCCGUGCCAGCAGCCGCGGUAAUACAUAGGGAGCAAGCGUUAUCCGGAUUUAUUGGGUGUAAAGGGUGCGUAGACGGGAAAUUAAGUUAGUUGUGAAAUCCCUCGGCCUAACUGAGGAACUGCAACUAAAACUGAUUUUCUUGAGUACUGGAGAGGAAAGUGGAAUUCCUAGUGUAGCGGUGAAAUGCGUAGAUAUUAGGAGGAACACCAGUGGCGAAGGCGACUUUCUGGACAGUAACUGACGUUGAGGCACGAAAGUGUGGGGAGCAAACAGGAUUAGAUACCCCUGUA
rnacentral:rRNA from 1 species